rnacentral:rRNA from 1 species
UACGGGGGGGGCAAGCGUUGUUCGGAAUUACUGGGCGUAAAGGGCGCGUAGGCGGCCUGCUAAGUCGGAUGUGAAAUCCCUCGGCUCAACCGAGGAACUGCAUCCGAUACUGGCGGGCUUGAAUCCGGGAGAGGGAUGUGGAAUUCCAGGUGUUGCGGUGAAAUGCGUAGAUAUCUGGAGGAACACCGGUGGCGAAGGCGGCAUCCUGGACCGGUAUUGACGCUGAGGCGCGAAAGCUAGGGGAGCAAACGGG